UGACCUCGGAUCAGGUAGGACUACCCGCUGAACUUAAGCAUAUCAAUAAGCGGAGGAAAAGAAACCAACAGGGAUUGCCCCAGUAACGGCGAGUGAAGCGGCAACAGCUCAAAUUUGAAAUCUGGCCCUCGGGUCCGAGUUGUAAUUUGGAGAGGAUGCUUCUGGCGCGGCGCCGUCCGAGUUCCUUGGAACAGGACGCCAUAGAGGGUGAGAGCCCCGUACGGGCGGCCGCCUAGCCUUUGUGAAGCUCCUUCGACGAGUCGAGUAGUUUGGGAAUGCUGCUCAAAAUGGGAGGUAAAUUUCUUCUAAAGCUAAAUACCGGCCAGAGACCGAUAGCGCACAAGUAGAGUGAUCGAAAGAUGAAAAGCACUUUGAAAAGAGGGUUAAAAAGUACGUGAAAUUGUUGAAAGGGAAGCGCCUGUGACCAGACUUGCGGCCCGCGGAUCAUCCGGCGUUCCUCGCCGGUGCACUCCGCGGGCGGCAGGCCAGCAUCGGUUUUCCUGGGGGGUCAAAGGUCGCGGGAACGUGGCUCCUUCGGGAGUGUUAUAGCCCGCGGCGUCAUGCCUCUGGGGGGACCGAGGACCGCGCUUCGGCAAGGAUGCUGGCGUAAUGGUCACCGGCGACCCGU
rnacentral:rRNA from 1 species